rnacentral:rRNA from 1 species
UACAGAGGUCUCAAGCGUUGUUCGGAAUUACUGGGCGUAAAGGGUGCGCAGGCCGCGCGGGCAGUCAAAUGUGUAAUCCAGGGGCUCAACCCCUGAACUGCGCUUGAUACUUCCGCGCUCGAGCUUUGGAGAGGAGUCUGGAAUUCUCGGUGUAGCAGUGAAAUGCGUAGAUAUCGAGAGGAACACCAGUGGCGAAGGCGAGUCUCUGGACGACUCCUGACACUGAGGCACGAAAGCUGGGGGAGCAAACAGG